rnacentral:lncRNA from 1 species
AAUCUACUGUCUUUCCUAAGGAGACAGUCAGAUCAUCGGUUUUCAUCAUCUACAUGUCAACAAGCAUGGAGGCAGAUGGUGCAAGUAAUCCUGUCUGKAUUCAAGGCCAGUGAUAUGCCUGUGAAUCACGUGAGACCUCUGUACUGCUCUGUGGAGAAGAUGCGAUCAACUUGGGAAAGGUUUAGAUGUGCUAUUCUUUUCUGGUCUAUCCUCCUGAGUCAGGAGGGGAGUGGAAAUUUUGGUACAACAAGGAUAGAUUUGAGCUUGGGAUUUAAGCUUUUUGCACCCAGUUCUGAAGUUUGGGUCAAGAACUAGAUCCAAGAGCAAGCCUUACCUGUGAAAUCAAAGCCCUGGGAGUUUUUCUGAUUUGGCUGGCCGGCUCCUUCUUCAGUAAGUGCAUUCUGGUUUUGGACUAGUCCCAGCUCUCCAAGGGUAUGGAGUUAGAGGGUGGUUCUUUCUGAUUUGAUAACCCAUGUCAACCUAACUCACAUGCAAACCCUAGCUAGGAGAUUAGGGCUCCUGUGCAUUUACAUAUGAUAGAGUCACCAAUUCAGACUGAAGCCCUGUUCUAGAGGAGAGACAGUUAAGGAAAAGGUAUGAGCCAAAGAGAAUGAGUCCUAGUCCUUCUGGGCUCGUCYGGCUCAGUAGCCCUGACAUCUGACAACAGACAUAUGAAAAGGCAGCAUGCUUCAGAGCUCUGCUACUUGACAAGGGACAGGGAAUAGUCAUUUCUUCCCUUUCUUAGAAGCAGAUGGGACCGUCCCUCUGCCAUAUUCCAGUGCAAAUAGGAUCAAAACCAUGAGUGGGUCUGUAACCUGAUCAGGGCUGCACCAGCUCUUCAAGAGAGAAGGAUGUCUUAGGCCAUUAUCAUUGCCAUCUCACUGUCAGGAAAACGUGUGAGAUCUGAGACAUCAGAGACCAAGGGCAAGCAGAGGACACRUUCACAGAUGAAGUGGGGAGAAGAGAGCUGGAAAAAGAAAUUGGAGCCCUCUAAUUUCAGCRUGAGGAAUGCACGAGGAGACACAGACUUGCCUGCUUGGAUCAGGAGCCUUCCAGAAGUGAAGCAGUUUGUUUGAGGCUCCUCUCCUUCUUGGGAUGGGACAUAGCUGCAGCGAGACUGGGACGUGACUUCCUCAGGCUGG